AUACGGAGGGUGCAAGCGUUACUCGGAAUCACUGGGCGUAAAGCGCGCGCAGGCGGCUUGAUAAGUUGGAUGUGAAAGCCUACGGCUCAACCGUAGAACUGCAUCCAAAACUGUCAAGCUAGAGUCUGGGAGGGGAAGAUGGAAUUAGUUGUGUAGGGGUAAAAUCCGUAGAGAUAACUAGGAAUACCAUAAGCGAAGGCGAUCUUCUGGAACAGUACUGACGCUGAGGCGCGAAAGCGUGGGGAGCAAACAGGAUUAGAAACCCGAGUAGUCC
rnacentral:rRNA from 1 species